rnacentral:rRNA from 1 species
CGAGUCAUUGUAGCAUACAAGGCAUACGGCUCAGUAACGCGUAGUCCACUUAACCUAUGGACGGGAAUAACCUCGGGAAACUGAGAAUCAUGCCCGAUAGAACAUUAUGCCUGGAAUGGUUUAUGUUCCAAAUGAUUUAUCGCCGUAGGAUGGGACUGCGGCCUAUCAGUUUGUUGGUGAGGUAAUGGCCCACCAAGACUAUUACAGGUACGGGCUCUGAGAGGAGUAGCCCGGAGAUGGGUACUGAGACACGGACCCAGGCCCUAUGGGGCGCAGCAGGCGAGAAAACUUUGCAAUGUGCGAAAGCACGACAAGGUUAAUCCGAGUGGUUUCUGCUAAAGAAACCUUUUGUCAGUCCUAGAAACACUGAUGAAUAAGGGGUGGGCAAGUUCUGGUGUCAGCCGCCGCGGUAAAACCAGCACCUCAAGUGGUCAGGAUGAUUAUUGGGCCUAAAGCAUCCGUAGCCGGCUCUGUAAGUUUUCGGUUAAAUCUGUACGCUCAACGUACAGGCUGCCGGGAAUACUGCAGAGCUAGGGAGUGGGAGAGGUAGACGGUACUCGGUAGGAAGGGGUAAAAUCCUUUGAUCUAUUGAUG